rnacentral:rRNA from 1 species
GGGGAAUAUUGCACAAUGGGGGAAACCCUGAUGCAGCAACGCCGCGUGGAGGAUGAAGGCCUUCGGGUCGUAAACUCCUGUCUGGGGGGAUGAAAACUGACAGUACCCCCGGAGGAAGCCCCGGCUAACUACGUGCCAGCAGCCGCGGUAAUACGUAGGGGGCGAGCGUUGUCCGGAAUUACUGGGCGUAAAGCGCGCGCAGGCGGCUUGUUAAGUCAGGUGUCAAAAUGCGGGGCUCAACCCCGUAUCGCACUUGAAACUGGCAGGCUUGAGUGCAGGAGAGGGAAGUGGAAUUCCUAGUGUAGCGGUGAAAUGCGUAGAUAUUAGGAGGAACACCAGUGGCGAAGGCGACUUCCUGGACUGUAACUGACGCUGAGGCGCGAAUGCUAGGGGAGCAAAC